rnacentral:lncRNA from 1 species
GGUCAACUUCUCCCACAUGCAGUACUAUGGUGACGAGGACUCCGGGCCUGUGGAGUGGUCUUAGGAGGGGGGGUUGCUUUGGACGUUGUUUUGAUGUGGGUUGGUGGGUUCUGUGGGGUUCAUAAUCGCCAUCUCAUGGCCCUCAUCAUUACCAUCAUCCAUCUCUAGACCCAACACGCAACGUUUGUGGACGGCCAAAUGAGCGCCUCGUGACUUGCUUUAUCUGCUUUCCCUCCUCUUCUGCUCGUCACUAUUUUGUCAGUGGCCGGCGCUGAUUCUGUCCUGGCUGAUCAUUUUGGAUUGGGGGAAAGCGCUUUGCCGAGUGUUCUGUUGUUUUCUAAGAAAACAAGGGAGGCUGCUUCCUUAGCCGCGGGGCCCCUAUGGCACGGGGGCAUUGGGCGUGCGCGAUCCAAAGCGGGAAACGCCUGCAGGCUGCAGUCGCCAGUCCGCUUAGGACAUGAGACGAGCACAGGGGUGUGAGGCGGUGUGAAUGACGUUAUUAAAGAACGGGCAUGAGGAGAGGAGGAUGCGGCAACAUGACGGCAAGGACAGUAAUGCCAUAAAUGCCAGAUGAUGAGUUGAAGCUGGUGUGAAGGUGGUGCAGUAGCUGGGGGGGGCUUGCUUGGG